AUGCUCCAGGUGACCAACUGAGGUUCUGGCUGACCACCCUUGGUCACUCCCUGACUAAGGAAUAAAUCCUGAAGGAGAAAGAAGAAAACAUUGAUACUUGUACCCUAGGGUGAAUGAAUGAAGCUAUGAAAGUAUCUGUCCCUAGCAGGUUGCCACACAAUAUCCAUAAUAUCAUUUCUUCCUAACAACCACCCUGAUAAAAGGAAAAAAUAUUUUCUUCAUUUUACAGGGAUGAGGACAGGACCCCAAAUACAGAUGCUUCAGAUGCUUCUGAAAAUCAUAUUUAUGAAGAAUUGCUUAAGCACUGAGGAUGGCCAUCCAAAUGGAGAGAUGACUGAAGAGAUUUGAAGCAACCUUCUGAAAUAAACCAAACUGUAUUAUUUGAAGAUCAUUCUCUGAAGUCCAAAGAUGAAACAGAUCAAACACCGUAUCAUUUGUUAAGAGUACUUCUAAAAGUUGGGGUUGCUGUACUCCAGAAAAUCAAAGAACUAAGGUGAAUUUUGAAGUAUCUGUUUUUGGGGGCAGACUACAGCUGCAGCAGAGCAAUUUUUAAAAUGUGCUCGAUUUUCAAAAUAAAAAUGUUAAAUCAUAAUAAAACUUCAAAAAUUCCUGCAAAAACAAAAACGAAAUGAAAUGCCAAAAAUAAAUGCUUGGAAGCACCAAAUAAUCCAUUACUCCUGAGACGGAAACCAAUCCUCAUUUUCCAGAGGAAGAUAUUGACGAGAGAUUAAGUAACUGCCCAAGGACACAUCACUAGUAGGUGGCAGAUCGAAGGUUCAAGCCUGGGUCAUCUGGCUGCAUAGUUUGGGGUUUUAAAAACCAUCCACCUCUCUCAGGAGAAAAAAAAAGAGCUUCACUGGGGUCGAGGUACCUAUAAAAGAAGAUACUCUGACUUUCAAAAAUCCAGUGAUUCCAAGAGUAAAUGUGCAAUAUUCAGAGUUUUAUUGCCCAAGAAGAGCUUGGUCUCAUUAUUAGGGAUUCAUAUCAGGAGUCAACACUCCAGCUAUCCUGUGGUUGCCCUGAUUUGAACACUUUCCAACCUGCUUCCAUCUCGCAACUUCUAACUGGUUAUUCAUCCUUCAGAUUUCAAACGACAUGAUGCCUCCUUUAGGAAGCCAAUCUGGAACCUCCAAAAUUAGACAAGGGGAAAUGAGGCUCCAAGAUAACCACGCUGAUUAAUGUCACCAACCCAGUAAAUCAUGGAGAAAGGACUUGGAUGUCUGAAAACAAAUUAUUUUACAAGAGGAAAAGUUAACAAAGAAUGUACAAUGUUUUCUGAAAAUGUGUAAUUCUCUUCAUCGUUUUGAACUAUGACUUCUGGAAAUCCGCUCACUGGUGAUGGAGAUAGUCACGGAAGUAUCACCCAUCAGGACACAAAGACAGGCCCUGAGACUCUGUGGUGACUCGGUGGUAUAAAGCGAAGAGCACUGGACUGCAAAUAAGGAAUCCUGUACUCAAAACCCUGCAUCACAGAAGAGCCUUGCAAAUGAGCAAACCCGUCUCCUUACCUUUACCUACUCUACAAAACAGAAAAUAAAGCCGAUGAAAAUCAUAGAGGUACUAGGUAAUGUGCCUGGCGCCAUGUGUGUUAUGCAGAAUGAACUACUCAACAUUCUACCAGCCUACCGUUUACCAUCUCAGAGA